rnacentral:rRNA from 1 species
CCUACGGGAGGCAGCAGUGAGGAAUAUUGGUCAAUGGACGAGAGUCUGAACCAGCCAAGUAGCGUGAAGGAUGACUGCCCUAUGGGUUGUAAACUUCUUUUAUAUGGGAAUAAAACGUUCCACGUGUGGGAUUUUGUAUGUACCAUAUGAAUAAGGAUCGGCUAACUCCGUGCCAGCAGCCGCGGUAAUACGGAGGAUCCGAGCGUUAUCCGGAUUUAUUGGGUUUAAAGGGAGGGGAGGUGGAUUGUUAAGUCAGUUGUGAAAGUUUGCGGCUCAACCGUAAAAUUGCAGUUGAAACUGGCAGUCUUGAGUACAGUAGAGGUGGGCGGAAUUCGUGGUGUAGCGGUGAAAUGCUUAGAUAUCACGAAGAACUCCGAUUGCGAAGGCAGUUCACUGGACUGCAACUGACACUGAGGCUCGAAAGUGUGGGUAUCAAACAGGAUUAGAUACCCGAGUAGUC